rnacentral:rRNA from 1 species
UGGGGUGCUCGAGUGGCGAACGGGUGAGUAACACGUGAGUAACCUGCCCUUGACUUUGGGAUAACUUCAGGAAACUGGGGCUAAUACCGGAUAGGAGCUCCUGCUGCAUGGUGGGGGUUGGAAAGUUUCGGCGGUUGGGGAUGGACUCGCGGCUUAUCAGCUUGUUGGUGGGGUAGUGGCUUACCAAGGCUUUGACGGGUAGCCGGCCUGAGAGGGUGACCGGCCACAUUGGGACUGAGAAACGGUCCAA